rnacentral:sRNA from 1 species
UUGCUCUUCAUUUAUUAACAAGUUUUAUUCAGAUUAUUUUAUUAUGUAUUUGUUGUUUUAUUUUAUUUUUCAGAAAAGCUGUACAUUUUUGAAAAUAUUUUUUAUGUGUAUAAUUGUAAAUCAAAUAUGUACUACAUAUUGAUAUUUGUAUACCAAAUACGAAUAUACAUGUACGAGUGUUUUUGAUGUUGUAGAUUUUAAACAAGUGCUUUAUUAUGCAAUUGGCAAACAUGUACACGUCUGAUAUCUAUUUUUCAUUACUUGACGAAGGUUACAAAUGAAACAAAAAUUCAUUGACUUAUUCCUAGUUUUAGUGAACCAAUUUAGUUUUAUUCAAACUUGAUACAUAUCAAUGCCAUUAUUUCACCGUUCAAUGUACACUUUUUAAUAUCAUUAAAAGUUGCAGAUCAUUAAUUUUUGAAAAAGUUUUUUUUUGCUAAAUUUUUAUGAAUGAAUUUUUGUGCUUAAUAAAAAAAUUGAAGGC